CACGAUUUGCCUGAACAUCAUUAUGAAACACUUAAGUUCCUUUCAGCUCAUCUGAAGACAGUGGCAGAAAAUUCAGAAAAAAAUAAGAUGGAACCAAGAAACCUAGCAAUAGUGUUUGGUCCCACCCUUGUUCGAACAUCAGAAGACAACAUGACCCACAUGGUCACCCACAUGCCUGACCAGUACAAGAUUGUAGAAACGCUCAUCCAGCACCAUGACUGGUUUUUCACAGAAGAAGGUGCUGAAGAGCCUCUUGUAAGUAUUGUCUGUCAGCAUUUGUACUCAGUAGUUUCAUUUGGGACACAAGAUCCUGGCGCGCCAACAAUGUCAACUUCCUGCUUUGUAUGCUAUUGUCCGCUUUGCGCCCCGGAAGCAGGUCUCUAGCUCAGUUUCUGAUCUAAUGAAUAUACAAGUACGGUGCUUAUUUUGCAGUUAAUUAUGCGUAAACAAUGUAAACACAUUAAGCACAGGUGCUUUACUUAGUAAUGUGUCUUUUACUAAAUGUUGUUUAAAUUUUAAAGAAAGUAUCUUUGAAGAGAUGAUGAAGAGAUCUUUG
rnacentral:sRNA from 1 species